UACGGAGGGUGCGAGCGUUGUCCGGAUUUAUUGGGCGUAAAGAGCUCGUAGGCGGCUUGUUGCGUCAGCUGUGAAAACCCGCAGCUCAACUGUGGGCUUGCAGCUGAUACGGGCAGGCUUGAGUUCGGUAGGGGAGACUGGAAUUCCGGGUGUAGCGGUGAAAUGCGUAGAUAUCCGGAGGAACACCGGUGGCGAAGGCGGCUUCCUGGACCGACACUGACGCUGAGGCGCGAAAGCUAGGGGAGCAAACGGG
rnacentral:rRNA from 1 species